rnacentral:misc_RNA from 1 species
GUGAAUUGUAAUGGGGGUUUGAUGCUGGCUGCCAUUUCUUGGCUGCAUGUGCUUGCCCCCAAGCAAAUCCUUUUCCAAACACCUGUGCACCUUGUGAGAAUGUUAGGGGGGGAAUCUUUGCCCUCCUUUGUCUCAUGAUUCAUAAACGCUGUUUGUAAUGUUGAAUGCGUUUGUGCCGUCAAGGCUUUAACAUAAUA